rnacentral:rRNA from 1 species
UACGUAGGUGGCAAGCGUUGUCCGGAAUUAUUGGGCGUAAAGCGCGCGCAGGCGGCUUCUUAAGUCUGAUGUGAAAUCUCGGGGCUCAACCCCGAGCGGCCAUUGGAAACUGGGAAGCUUGAGUACAGAAGAGGAGAGUGGAAUUCCACGUGUAGCGGUGAAAUGCGUAGAUAUGUGGAGGAACACCAGUGGCGAAGGCGACUCUCUGGGCCGAUACUGACGCUGAGGAGCGAAAGCGUGGGGAGCGAACAGG